CAGAUUGAACGCUGGCGGCAGGCCUAACACAUGCAAGUCGAGCGRGGUUUUCGGACCUAGCGGCGGACGGGUGAGUAAUGCGUAGGAAGCUGCCCGAUAGAGGGGGAUACCAGUUGGAAACGACUGUUAAUACCGCAUAAUGUCUACGGACCAAAGUGUGGGACCUUCGGGCCACAUGCUAUCGGAUGCGCCUACGUGGGAUUAGCUAGUUGGUGDGGUAAUGGCUCACCAAGGCGACGAUCCCUAGCUGGUUUGAGAGGAUGAUCAGCCACACUGGGACUGAGACACGGCCCAGAC
rnacentral:rRNA from 1 species